GAGAGAAGCAAUGCAGAUAAAGUGUCUUGACCAAGGACCUCGAGGUUAGGAAACCUAACCGUUCCCGCUGCGCCAAACCACUUCCACGGAGUGUAAAACCUCGGCAGGAUCUGUCACCCCUCUCGUUGUUGGAAUGAUUUUUCUGGGUAUCAUCAUCGGAACCAUACUGUCGUCGUCUGUAUCUAUUAUCCUCUGGAAAAUGAAAAUUUCAUCAAAGGCAACACAAGAAACAACGAAUGAAAAUCAAGCGGAGGCAAGUACAAAAACUAUUCAAUAACAGUAGUUUUGAUAUGGUCAUCUUUCUGAAUUGUAUACCGUACUAUAUAAUAUUGACUGGCAUCUCAAGAAAUACGGAAGGCCUGUUAUUGAUCACUUGCUCAAAAAAGAAUUAGUGGCCUAAUAGUGAUUGAUAAUUUAAAGUAAAUAAGGGUAGACCAGACCUAUCAGUGGUAAUUUGUUUUUU